rnacentral:tRNA from 1 species
UCCCUGGCAGUCCAGUGGUUAGGACUCAGCACUUUCACUACUGAGGGCCUGGUUCAAUCCCUGAUUAGGGAA